rnacentral:lncRNA from 1 species
AUGCGGCGGGGAACGGGGGGCAUUUUAGCACUCAUCACUUGCAUUCGGGUCCGGGACCAGUCCCGGCCGGGUCCCUGCGGUGCCAGGCGCUGUAUGGGCACUGCUGGGUGCAAACGCUGCCAGCGCCGGAGACACCGCGGGAGCAGCCYGGGCUCUGCUGUCCCAGGCGGGGACAGAGGGACAGGGCGGCSAGUCGUGGGUGCCCAGUUUGCCAGCUCCAUCCCGUCCCCUGCUCCRUGCAGGGCGGAGGGUUUGGCUGGGGUGGUGGAGGUGGCUGGAGCAGCCCCCGUCCCCCGUGCCGCUGGGUCGGGGCAUGGAGCUGUGUGCUGCCGCGGCGGAGCCUUCCCGCUGCAGCCAGGAGCUCAGCCCUGCGGGGUGAUCCCGGAUAAAGCCAGCUCAAAGGGGAGCCCGGGGGCCAGCGUGGAACAACCCAAGCAGGCAGCUAAUGGGAUCAGCGGGCCCAGCCAGGCGGCGGCGGGGCCAGGGCGGGAAUUAGCCCUGGCAGCAACAGCUGUUCGCAGGCCGCCCGUGGCCCUGGCUCCCUCCUCGCUGCAGGGAUGCUGGCGAUGCUGCAGUCCGGGGGAUGCUGCGCAGGCUGGGAAUGCCGCACUGCCCAGGGAUGCUGUGCUGGCUGGGGAUGCUGCACUCCCGGGGAUGCUGCACUGUCCAGGGAUGCUGCGUUGGCUGUGCUGCCUGGGAAUGCUGCGCUCCUGGGAUUGCCGCACUGGCUGGGGAUGCUGCGCUGGCUGGGGAUGCUGCGCUCCCAGGAACGCUGUGCUCCCAGGAAUGCUGCGCUGGCCAGGGAUGCGGCGCUGGCUGAGAAUGCAGCGUUGGCUGAGAAUGCAGCACUGCCCCGGGAUGCUGCGCUGCUGGGGACGCUGCGCUGGCCGGGGACGCUGGCACCAGACUCACCUUGGGCGCCCACCAAGUGAUGCCCAUGUGCAGGGCGUAGUCGCAGCACACCUUGGGGUCGGCCAGGCUGCGGCACUUCUCGUAGGCGUCCAGCAGCGAGGUCUCCUUGUCGGGCAGGACGUGGCCGAUGAUCAUCGUCGUCCCUCCCACCAGGGCUGCCUGCGGGCGGCAGGCGUCAGCACCUUCCCCCGCCGCCCCCGGGCACCGUCUGCCGCCCCUUCCCCAGCACCUGCUCGCUGGGCUCGGGGUGCCAGGGGUUGCCCUACAUGGGCCGUUUAUGGGCCUGGGUGCAAAGUCCCUGCAAAAUGCCCCCCCCUGCACUGCAUCCCCAGCACGGGCAGGAUGAGACCGGCAGGACCCGAGCGGGGACGGGGGACGCGUGGGCAGCAGGGCGAGAGCCGCUGCACCCCGGCGGCGUCUCCAGCUCACCCAGCCCGGCUAAUCCCCAAAGCUCCUUUACCCAUCCGCCCCCGGCGGGCUGCCGCGGGCUGGCCAAGCCGGCACGGUGCAGCACGGUGCAGCAGCGCGCCGGGCUGGGCGCCGGGGGCAGGCACAGCCCCGGCCCCUCCUUGGCACGGCACGGGGGUGCCAUCGGCACGCUGGGGACAUCACCGUGUCUCUCCAGCCCCUCGCCAUGCCGCCGCGCACCCCCCCUGUGCUGCAGCACCGUGCUUGAGCUCCCCCAUCCYGGGGAUGCUCCGCUCCCCGCCGUGGGGCUCAGCGCACCGGAGCCAGGCACGGCCGGCGCCGGCGCUGCACAAAGGCUGCUCUGUGCGGGCUGCCGGAGCCAGGCGGCCCCGGGGACAAGGCUGCACCAGCCCCCCAGCGCUGCCGGCCAGCGGCACCCGGUGCACGGCACCGCUCUGGGGCUGCAGAGCUGGGGAGAUCCGAGCGCGUGGCGGGGAGACGCCGUGGGGCACGGGCAUGCACACGCAUGCCGCGGGCAGAAGCAGGGGCUGGAGCACCUGCCGCGCACCUCGCGCGCAAGGUCUGCGCUAG